ensembl:snRNA Gm22264 U6 spliceosomal RNA
AUGCUCGCUUCGGCAGCACACAUACCAAAAUUGGAAUGAUACAGAGAUUAGCAUGGCUCCUGUGCAAGGCUGACAGGCAAAUUUGUGGAGUGUUCCAUAUUUUU